CUCCCCAAAAUUUUGGCCUGCGUUCCCUCCAUUCUCUCUCUCCCUCUUAACCCAAUGACCUAUUUCUAAACCUCCAUUCUCUCUCUCUCUCUCUUUUGUUGCUAUUCCUUCCCCGCUAUUGUUUUCUCUCUUCCUUUCCCCCUCUCUCCUCCUCUGUCAUUCUCCGUUGUCACCUUUAUUUUUCCCCUCUCUCUCUCUCCUAUGGGUUUGCAAAUAAAAGGUGUGCAUACCUCUAUUUCAAUAGAGUCUCAUUUCAAUAAACAGGCAUUGGGGUUUGCAAAGUAACGAUGUGUAAAGAAAGUAUAAAUCUGAAAAGCAUAAGUUACUACCUUCUUAGAUCAAACUCUUGUGCUGUUUCCUUAUACUUUACCUAAAUCUAUAAGUGUAUUUGUGUUAUUUGAUUACUGUGCAUUUUAGGAAGUAACUCAAUUCUUUGUGGGAUUAUAUGUGUUAGCCGCUCAGAAAAUGCCUUUACUUCUUAGGUGAUUAAAAACUGAAAAAUUUACCAUGAUGGAUAAACUAUAAACUAAUAGCAUGUUUCCUAAAUGAUGGUAUAAGGUUCACCAAAAGAGUUAUUAGAAGGUAUUCUAUGAAGAUUCACCAUUGUGGUUUGUUUUCCAUAUUCUAUUGUCAUCUUCCGAAGGCACAAUUGAGCCCUAUAAAGGUGCACGAAGAUGUGUUGUGGAAGGUCAGUCCAGAUGAAACCAGAAUAAAUAAUGGAAAAUCAAAAGAUUUGAAAAUAAAACAGUUUUUCAUUUUUUGAGCCAAUGCAUGUCCUUACAAUGUUCGUGGCUGAGAAAUGUAGGAAUUACUUGAACAAUUAUGCUCUGGUGUUUUAGGAAUUUUUCAUUUACCCCUAUAAUUUCAUUAAUAUAUAUUUUGUUCAUUUACUUCAAUAACGGUAUGAAUGUAUUGAUCUAAACAGAUGAAGAUUGUAUGUUUGCAUAUUUUGGAUAUGAUCCAGGGGGUGUCAUUCAUUCCGUGAUUUUUUGGAUAAUUUAUAAGAUCAGAAGAGCUUGUUAGUAACUAAAUAAAGCUUUAAAAAUAUACAAUCAUGUCUAGAACCAGAUAAUGGCUAGAAAAAAAAAAGUUCUGAAAUAGAAAAACCCAAACCAAUUGGGCCUAAAAUUAGCCAAUAAGACCUCUCUUAAAUACUGUUAAAAAUUCUUUUCUCUAGAGACCUGGAUUUUCUAAUGUAUUUAUCAAAGUUUAGUUUCACAACUUGAGGGGGAGGCGUCCAAACUUGGUUGAGCUCCUACUUGACUGAAGGUGAACAUGCUAAGUGGGUCCAUCUCUAGAUAAUGUCAUCUAUAUAAAAGUCUAGUGCUCGGAUUUUAAGUAUCUCUAAUGGUGAUGGUAUCCAUCGGCCCUUUGGUCAACUAUUCCUUCUAUCACAAUAUUAUAACAUUUGUUUCCAUCAUUUUUUAUUUUUUCAUUAUACUAAUAUUACAGUUAAGUAACAUACAUAUAUAAAGACAAAGGAGUGUCUUUAUCAUGUAUAGAGAAUAGCAAUUAGUUUGGUAGUUAAGCACACUUAUUAAUUUUUCUUUUGAGUAAAGCAUACAGGCCAAUUGGGUUGGGAGAGGGUUAGACUGCAAACUACAGGCCUGGGCAGGGAUUUGAAUAGUUUUAGGUCCAAUCUCACCAACCCAAUUAUAUAAUUAUAAAAAAGAUAAAGGUGCCUACCUAUUUUCAGUCAAGUUUAUCAUGUUAUCAUCUCACAUACAAAAUAAGCAGCUUAUUAAUAAUAUUAUCAAUUAUGUAAUUUAUUGACAUAAAUUGGGGUUGACCUAACCUGACCUAAUAUUAUUGACAUAAUAUUACUGCCGACCCAGGCCUGUAGUUUUUCCCCCAAGGAAGAACUGGUGGAGUUUCUUCAAGGAUCAAAACUAACCUUCUCAUGGGCUUGAAUGGUUUGAUGCUAGAAUUAAGCUACCAAGUGGUGAUUACUUGGUUGUGCUCUAUUUCAGAUCCCCAGGCCCUUUAGAUUGUUGAUAAGCAAAGGUUUGCCAAUGUUGAGAUAGCCAAUAUUUCUAAGUUUUCUAUCAUAUUUAUGGAAUUGAAUUGGAUUCUCUUGGGGACCACUGGUUAUGCUUUCAUUCUGUAGUUGUAGACUCACGAAGGCUUGAAUACUGCAAGCUUCAAGGUAAAAUUUCAUUAUGCCAAAAUCUUUUUAUUAAGAAAAGAUUUACAUAUGAGCAGGGAUGCCACUUAGUCAUGUUAGGUUGGAUUUUGGACCAACCCAGUCCCAAUGCUAAGACUUGGGCCUUGGUUCUGGGCCUAGCCCAACCUAAGGUCAAAGCCUAAUCCAAUCUCAAUCCAUAGUUUAAAAAUACAAGCCUAAUUGGGUCUGCUUAUAUAUAUUUUAGACUUAUUUUCUUAUUGAAUUUUUAUUUUAUUAUAAAAAGAAAAUUACUGCUAUGGCAUAAUAUGAAAAUCUAUGAAAAUUCCGACUUUUAGGUAUCUAGGAAAAUUUUUGAGCUAAAGACUAUUUUUUUUUUUAUCAAUAACAAGCUAAAGACUACUAUUGGUGUUGGGCUGAUGCAUCAUCAAGACAAUUUGUUAAAGAUUAUCAACUAUGAAUAUAAACGGUGGAGCUUUUUGGUCAGUCCAAACUUAUUCUAUUAAAUGGAGUUUCUUGUUUCUUAAGGGUUGUAAUGUGGGAAUUUCUUCCAUGGAAUUUUCUUCUUCCCAUCUCUAUCCAUUUUUUCCAUUAAGCUAAAAAAAUAGAAAGAUAUUAGUGGUAUUUAUUAGUUGAAUUCAUGUUUAAUACUUGAACUUUUUAUCUUCGAAACCUUGAAGGUGAGGAAGGAAAAAUCCAUAUAUAUAUCAUACACUGAAAAUGCAUAGCUUUGAUUUAACAAAGAAACUUCUUGUUGUAGAGGAUUGGAGCCUUUUAUUUCUCUUUUUGCUACAAAUCAGGUAUUCUUCCUUUAAAUGUUCAAUACUUCUCUAGUUCAACAUAUAUCAUACCCUUAAUAAAUCAUCUAUGUCAAAAUAUUUUACUAAACCCUUAAUAUAUCAUUCUUUGUUUUGUGCAGAUUCAAGAUGCCUUACAAUGAGUAGCAUUUGACAGCAACUCAAAAGUUGGAUCCAUAUUCCAGGCCUUGAAUAUGAAGGAAUAUACACUAACAUAUUUCCAAACAAAUAAAUUUAUUUAUGCUUUUCAAGAGAUUCUUGAUGCAUAUGGAUCUUGCAUUCAUUUUAGAACCUUCCCUUUCUUUGUCUAAAAAUUUGAAUUUGGCUCUUGUUAAGUCUUCUGGUCUACACAAUAUGAAUUCCAGGCAAGGCAAAAGAAGUCCUGCAAAGAAGGAUUUGAAGAUCGAAGCUUAUGAUCCAAAGCAAAAAUCUUGAGUGUGAUGCACGUGCAUAUUUGCAACUAUUCAGAUGCAAUGAGGAUAAUUUUGUUAAUUUUCUUUUCUUUUAUUAGUGAUGAAAAAGAAUAUAUAAAAUGUAUAUAUUGAACAAAGACCAUUAUGGAUAUAGUGUAAAUGUGUACAUGUUUUAUUUGUAAAA